ensembl:snoRNA SNORD127 small nucleolar RNA, C/D box 127
UGGCAACUAUGAUGACAAGUUUGGUCGUAUGUAAUAUAUUACUAAAUGAAGACGACAGUCCCUCUAAACUGAUGUUGCCG